rnacentral:lncRNA from 1 species
AGCACCACUGUCCGAGGUUUACAGAGUGUUUGAUCCACUGGGAGGAGAUCCUACAAAAGAUCAAACUGGAAUAAAGGACACACUUUACAACCCAUAAGAUGUGACAUUGAGAUCUGCUCAGAAAAAAGAAUUCCUAAUGGAAAGCACACUUGACUUGGAGACUUGGAGGCAGUGGAAGUAGCCUCAAGUUGUGGCUGAGAUUAGCAAACUGAAGUUCAAAGAAUUGGAUAACCUAGCCCAAGAUCAGACCUUUGGAGAAUGAAAGAAUCUGGAUUUGCACCCGGAACUUACUGGCUUCCACCUCUAAACACCAGCUUCCCUGUUCCAACUUUUCUAAAGUUGAAUGUUCUUCAUACAAAUAUCAGCAGGAAGACAUUGAGGCACAAAAUAAAUGGGGUAUUGUAUGAGAAUGCCUAGCUUUCAAUGAGCUUAUGUCUCCAAGCUUGGACAAAUUCCGGCUGGGGUACCAACAGAAUUUAUAUAUGAGAAGACUGUUGGCAGCUUUUCAGGGACUGUGGGGCCGGGGAGAGACGCCAGAAGACUGUGGCUGGGUACACACUAUUCCAUUUUGUGAAAAGGGGAAGAAGGUUGAUUCUGCAAACCAUAGAUGCCAGAGUCCUGGGCAAAGUUCUUGAAGGGCAUCCUAUAAACAUAAAAAAAGGGAAGUCAUUGCUAGGCACCAACAAGUUUUCAUUGAGAAGAGAUUAUUCCAAAUGAACCUAACUUCCAUUUCUCAUAAGGUGAAAAAUUGGUAUGGCUUUAUUUAGACAAUACAUUUUGCUCAUUUUCA